GGCAGUGGUGGCUCAAUGGUUAAGGCUCUGGGUUACACAUCAGGAGGUUAGGGUUCAAACCCCAGCACCGCUA